GACGAACGCUGGCGGCGUGCUUAACACAUGCAAGUCGAACGGAAAGGCCCUGCUUUUGUGGGGUGCUCGAGUGGCGAACGGGUGAGUAACACGUGAGUAACCUGCCCUUGACUUUGGGAUAACUUCAGGAAACUGGGGCUAAUACCGGAUAGGAGCUCCUGCUGCAUGGUGGGGGUUGGAAAGUUUCGGCGGUUGGGGAUGGACUCGCGGCUUAUCAGCUUGUUGGUGGGGUAGUGGCUUACCAAGGCUUUGACGGGUAGCCGGCCUGAGAGGGUGACCGGCCACAUUGGGACUGAGAUACGGCCCAGACUGCUACGGGAGGCAGCAGUGGGGAAUAUUGCACAAUGGGCGGAGGCCUGAUGCAGCAACGCCGCGUGCGGGAUGACGGCCUUCGGGUUGUAAACCGCUUUCGACUGUGACGAAGCGUGAGUGACGGUAAUGGGUAAAGAAGCACCGGCUAACUACGU
rnacentral:rRNA from 1 species